UCAUGCUGAGUUUCCUCUCUCCAGAGUCCUAACUCUAAGCACCCAUUCUUUGUUACUUGCUCCCUCCCAAGUGUUAUGGACUAUCUCCCCUAUUAGACCCUAAAUUCCCCAAGGAGUAGGGAGUAGGAUACAAGGGCAUUAUCUGCUUUGCCACUCCCCCGCAGAGUUCUGCCCAGGGUCUGGAAUAUAGUAUAUACUUCAUAAAUAUUGCUGUUAUGAACUGAAUGUUUGCAUCCUCUCUAAAUUCAUAGGUUGAAGCCGUAAUCCCCAAUGUAACUGUAUUUGCACGUGGAGCCUUUAGAAGGACACAGCAAGAUGGCCAUCUGCAAGCAAGGAAGAGAGCACUCACCAGGAAGUGAAUCUGCGGGCACUUUCACCUUGGACUUCCCAGACUCUGGAACUGUGAGAAGUAAAUGUGUGUUGGUUAAGCCCCCCAGUCUAUGGUAUCCUGUUAUAGCAACCUGAGCUGACUAAGAAAAUUGCUGAUAGAUAAAUUUUGGGGACUGAAUCUUGUCCUGUAAUCUUUCAUCAAUAAACAUAUAUUGACCAUC